rnacentral:rRNA from 1 species
UACCAGCACCCCGAGUGGUCGGGACGAUUAUUGGCCUAAAGCAUCCGUAGCCGGCCUUACAAGUCCCCCGUUAAAUCCAACUGCUUAACAGAUGGGCUGCGGAGGAUACUAUAAGACUAGGAGGCAGGAGAGGCAAGCGGUACUCAGUGGGUAGGGGUAAAAUCCUUUGAUCCAUUGAAGACCACCAGUGGCGAAGGCGGCUUGCCAGAACGCGCUCGGACGGUGAGGGAUGAAAGCUGGGGGAGCAAACCGG